rnacentral:rRNA from 1 species
GAAUUGGAAGCAACAAGAAGAACCUUACCAGGUCUUGACAUCCUUGGCCCACUCUAGAGAUAGAGCUUUCCAUUCGGGGACAAAGUGACAGGUGGUGCAUGGUUGUCGUCAGCUCGAGUCGUGAGAUGUUGGGUUAAGUCCCGCAACGAGCGCAACCCUUAUUGUUAGUUACCAUCAUUUAGUUGGGCACUCUAGCGAGACUGCCGGUGACAAACCGGAGGAAGGUGGGGAUGACGUCAAAUCAUCAUGCCCCUUAUGACCUGGGCUACACACGUGCUACAAUGGGAAGUACAACGAGUGUAGACCGAGAGGUCAUGCAAAUCUCUUAAAGCUUCUCUCAGUUCGGAUUGCAGGCUGCAACUCGCCUGCAUGAAGCCGGAAUCGCUAGUAAUCGCGGAUCAGCACGCCGCGGUGAAUACGUUCCCGGGCCUUGUACACACCGCCCGUCACACCACGAGAGUUUGUAACACCCGAAGUCGGGGGGGUAACCUUUUUGGAGCCAGCCGCCUAAGGUGGGAUAGAUGAUUGGGGGG